UGUGACUACGCACUAAUGAUCAUAAGUUUAUAAGAAACUAAAUUCAUUCAGAAUCAAACAUCAUGAACAUGAUCAAGGUCACAGUUAGGAUCAAAGGCGAGUGUUCCGGUUAAAUAUUCAACAACCAGGAUCCAAGGUCAAUAAUCAGAGUCCAAGAUGAGGAUCUAAACACAGCCAGGAUCAAAGGUCAAGAACAUGAUCAAAGGUGAGUGGAUCAAAUAUGAGUUAUCAGCAACAAAAACCAGGAUCAAAGAUGAUUGGUUAGGAUCACAGGUCAACUUUUAGAAACAAAGGUGAGCAGUCAGGAUCAAUAUAUGGUCCUCCAGAGUGGACUCAGGAUUGGACUUUGGUUUGAGGUUUAAAUUAAAUUCCAAUGGACUGUGGAGCCUUGGAGCUGGUUUGCUUUCCUUU